UACGAAGGGGGCUAGCGUUGUUCGGAUUUACUGGGCGUAAAGCGCACGUAGGCGGAUCUUUAAGUCAGAGGUGAAAUCCCAAGGCUCAACCUUGGAACUGCCUUCGAUACUGGCGAUCUUCGAGUCCGGGAGAGGUGAGUGGAACUCCGAGUGUAGAGGUGAAAUUCGUAGAUAUUCGGAAGAACACCAGUGGCGAAGGCGGCUCACUGGCCCGGUACUGACGCUGAAAUACGAAAGCGUGGGGAGCAAACAGG
rnacentral:rRNA from 1 species